rnacentral:lncRNA from 1 species
UAAACCGCUGUUGCCCAAAAAGGAGUGGACUAACCAGCACGAGAGAGAGAAAAGGAAAGAUUCAAUGGAUUGCUAUACAGAAACAGAGAGAUAACCCUAGGUUUUCUGUUCUCAAAGGAGAGAAAUAGAAAGUUAAGAAAAGAAAACCUAGGUGUUCAUAUACUCGCAUAUCUUCAUCGAUUUAAUUGGGGGAUGAUUCUCAUAGAAAUAGAUAUAUAGACAGAGAUUAGAUUUUGUUCUGGAAUUGUUGGGAUUAGAUAGAUAUAUGGUUGAAAAUAGAUGAAUCGAUCGAUCGCUGCAUGAGAGAUAAAGGGGAGGAGGAAGCGAAUCGAUCGCUGAGAAAAAGUAGGUAGAGGAGAGAGAAAACUCAACAUGUCUGCCAUAGUGUGCGGGAAAAGAUCAAAUUUUUUCGAAGAUAAUACCCCAUCAUCAUCAUCGCCACCUGUUUCCAAGAGGAUUCGUUGUUCUUCUACUUCCCCUGUUCGUUUCUCACCGCCCAGAACCAAUACCAAUACCGCCUCUCUGUUUUCUUCUUCAUUCCAGUAUCCGUUUAAUUUGUCGUCAUAUUCAUCCUCGUCACGUUUGGAUCAUCUUGCUGCUCUCUUUCUUGAUAUGGAGAAACAGGUUUUCUUCUUAUUUUAUUUUUACGUUGAUUGUUGCAAUUGUUUAUAUUGUUUCAUGAUCUUUUAUGCCAUUACUUGCCGAUUUGCUGUAGUAGAAAUUACCCAAUUCGCGAAGCAGAAUGCUUGUUGCCGAUUUGCUGUAGUAGGAAUUACCCAAUUCGUGCUGUAGUAGAAAUUACCCAAUCAUACCCUCCGUCCGCUAGUGCAACUACCGGAUGUAUAUAAUCAUUCAGCUGAUUUGUUAUGGUUUAGUCUGUGGGGGCAAAAGUGUCUAAUAAUUUGAUUAAUUACGUCCGCUAAAAUUUCUAGCGGACGGUCCUAAUCUCAGCCAUCCAGAAAUAAAACGAAGGGUUUAGAUGCUAUAUGCCACUUUUUACUCCAUAGCAUAUAGAUGCUAUGGAUCAUUCUCCAUAUAUAUAUAUUAGACCUGACAAUAUAAUUAGUUAACUGUUCGGUCAAACCAUAUUAACUGAAAUCAAAUAGGUUGGUUAACCAUUUUUAUUUAUUCAGGUCGGUUAAAGUUUGGACCCAUAUUUUUUAAAACAAAUAUAGUUCUGAACUGGUUAACUAUUUUUCAACCCAUAUUUCAUUCCGAUUCAAAUCGAAAAGUUGUUUUCUCA